CCUUGUUAUUCAGGACCCGAUUCACUGAUGGGGUAUUUUGGCUCCCUUAUGUGACCAAGCUAGGAGACAGUAGGACAUGGGAGAGAGAAUCUAAUUAUUGAUGAUCCAUCUGUAUCAGCAAGCUAAUACAUUAUCCAGAGAAAAAUUCAACUUAAACACGCAGUAGAAAAAUUCAGCUCUCUUAUUCAUGUCAGGAACAAAUGGCAGGAUAAGUUUACUUUAUUUUGACUACCCAUCGUGUGCUUGUGCACUCCCCUAGAGCUUGUAAUUUGCUAUUCCAAUGUCCACAAGUUUCAGUUUCACACUUGAACUUUCAUCAGAGAAUUCACUGUCACCGCAACUUGGGGUGGAAGAUUGAUCACAUUGAUGGGAUGACUGC
rnacentral:misc_RNA from 1 species